rnacentral:lncRNA from 1 species
GCCAAACUAUUUUCAAAUUCAGUGCAAAACGAGUCCCUUCCUAAAACCUAGCCUUUACGAAAUAAAAAUGGAAAAACACGCUAUUAUUUAAAAGAAUCGCUUCGGCUUCCAAAGAAAUUAUGAGUCUGGAAUUAGGUGAGGCAGGGAGGGAGAGCUGGAAACAAAAGUCCGGGCAACGUUUGGUAAAGGCCGAGACCAUCCCAGAUUGAGUUACUGACGGAAUUACAGCUGACACUAAGAACUGUUUGAGAUGACUUGAGGAGGGUGGGGGGCAAUGGUAGACAAUGGUUUGUAUUAUUUAGUGGGAUAAAGGUGACAUUUCAGGGAAUGUGGAAGACUAAGGAAGGCAGAGCCUCCUUGUCUGCCCCCUCAGAUCCAAACAUCAGUUGCUCUUGUACUCAAAGCCAGCAGGGAUCCGGGAGGGAAAGACAAGCCGCUGUAAUCAGUUUAAGCUUCCAGACAAGCCGGCCCCCAGGUUCUGUUUAUGCACUUUCCACCUCGCCAGAGACCUCUUGAUUUAUCCAGGAGAUGAACACUGCCUUCUUCUCUUCCUUCUCUCACCACUCUCUUACGAAACCUCCCAAAUAAGAUUAAGGAGGGCUUCCUUUUCAAUGAAACACAACUUUAAAACAUACACACAAGUCCUCAUCAAAAUGUGCCACCCUGCUUUCUGUAAGCAAAAUCCACGUGAUGCAGAACAGGGGUGAGGAACCUCCAGCCCAGGAGCCAAAUUGAGCCCUCCAGACCUCCAUGCAUCAGCCUUAGAACUCUGCCCAGGCCACCUCUCCUCUCCCCAGACCACAUGUGCAUUUGUUAGGCUUGCCAUACAUCAGGAAAAUUCCUGACAUGUCCUGGCUUUCGGGUGCAAAAAUGGUGUCAUGGGGAAAUCCAGAGGUAAAAUCACUAUCUUUGGGUUAGGUUUCCCUAAAAAAGCUCAACAACUUUGUAGGUGUCAGGAAUUUUACUUUAUAAAACAUGGCAACCCUAGCAUUUGUUUCUCUACCCACCAGUGACAUGCACUCCUCAGAAGGUUUCCCAGAAGAGGAUGCGGCCCAUGAGCUGAAAAACCUUCCCCAAGUGAAUGCUAGUCUAUUUGCAUUUAAAGGUUAAUAUAUUAAAUUUGCACUUUCCAUAACAAUAGGAGAAGCAAACCUAUUUUGCAGUGCAGUAUUCCAGCUAAGCAGUGUUUAUGAAAAAUGUGUCUGCUAGGGUAAAGUGUGCAUAAAAAUGAAUAUAUUCAUGAAAAUAGCAUACAAAAAAUGCAUUCUAUUAAGGGGGAAAAUUGCUUGCAAAAAUACACAUAUUAGUCUAAACAUCAUACAGAAAUGUGUUCAUUAGAAAUUUGCACUGAAGUGCUGGUUCAUCUUAUAGAGAUUUAAAACAAAAAUAAAUCACAAUUUGUGGCAGAAAUGCGGAGAACUGAACGAGAAUAAACAAGAAACUGAGAAAACCAAAACUGACAGAUCCUUCCAUCUCUAAUCCAGAGGGUAGGGCCUGAUUUAACAGGUUUGAAUUAUGUGAAAGGGGAUCUCAACAUUUGGAAGACCUGCCUGGUGGUCCAUCAGUGGAGCAGACAGCUUCAUAUGGUAAUGAACUCUUUUCCUUUCAAGGUUUUUAAGAUCGAUGACCACCUAGCAGGGAUGUUGCAGCCGCAGAUUCCAUGAAUUGGCAUUGGGGUGAGACUGGGUGAUUUUUGAGAUCCUCACCAAAGCUUUGAUUCUAUUAAAUGGCCCCCACAAAAUAGCAUAACCUCCAACAUUUGAAUAAUGAAAAAAAUAGCAGCAAUGCAAAAUGCCCAUGUUUUGAUCAUGAGAAUCACACUCUGAAUUUCAUUAUUAAACAUUGCUGAAAGGUAUAGUCUGGCUACUAAUGUUGCAUUCAUUUGUUCUGCCAUAGCCCCCUGCUCUGCUGUGGGGACAAGCAAGACAAUACAUGAGAUGCAUGAUCAGAUUUCACAGGUCUUUUUUAAAAGGGGAAGGGCUGGAGAAACAGGCAUGGGAAAGAUUUGUGGUAGCUUCCUUCCUGGACUGUACAUAGGAUGUGAGGACUGGUUUUUUUGUUUUGUUUUUAAAGACAAUGGGGUGGAGUGUGGGAGAAGAAACCCCUCUUGUACACCAUGGUGUGUGUGGAGGGGGUACUUUUCAUUAGGGCCGUGGUGCUGGAGGGAAUAAUUUUUUAAUACCCCUUUUUGCUUGCUAUGUAUCCUGAUGAAUAUAAGAACAUAUAAAGAGCCUUGUUGGAUUGGGUCAAUGGCCCAUCUAGUCCAGCAUCCUGUUCUCACAGUGACCACCCUGAUGCCUCUAUUGGGAAGACCACAAGCAGGACGUGAGUGCAACGGCACUCUGCCCACCUGCAGUUUCCAGCAACUAAUAUUCAGGGACUUCCUGCCCCAAGCAUAUUUUAAACAAAAGAAAUAAGGGUGGAGGGGGACCAAGACUGUGCAUUUCAAUGAUUGUUUAGUGUGGCCCUUUAUAGGCUUAUCUUACAUGUAUUUGUCCAAUCCUCUUUUAAAACCAUCCAAGUUGAUGGCUUCAGCUGUUUCAUGUGGGAGGCAGGCGGCCCAGAAGUGACUUUGAUGGCUUUGGUGUGUGGAACGGCAGGCUGUUAUGUGCACAAUACCUUGCAUGGUGUUAUGUACUGAGUUGAAUAGGAUCCAAACUGCAGCAGUCUGAUUGGUCCUAGAACAAUUGGAUCCAAAAUGUAGCAGUCUGAUUGGUCCUAGAAUAGGAUUCAGAAUGCAGUAGUCUGAUUGGUCCUAGAACAAUGCAGCAGUAUGAUUGGUUGGCAGGAGCCACCCAAUCCAGCUCCAGAUAGAAGUGAAUCCACAACCUUAUUGGCCUACAGGAGAAUUCCGGAAUUAGCCAAUCACGUGCAGCCCAUUGUGUAAAUAAUGUAUAUAAAGCAGAUACUUUGAGGGGACAUUCAUUCCUCCUCACCACUAUGAGCUGAAUAAAGAGCAUGAAAUCCACUCUCGACUCUGAGUAUAUUUCACAUACGCAUCUGUAUAUGCAUCUAUGCACAAGACAUUGUGUGUCUAGGGACCCUCAGGAGUUUCUCUUUCUUUCUUAUAAACACUGCAGCUCAUGGUCAUCUAAAGAAGCUGAGCGUUGGAAGAAUCAGGAUAGAUAAAAGAAACUUCUUUUUCACUCAGCACAUGGUAAACCUGUGCAACUUUCUCCUGCGGCACGCAGUGAUAACCACCAACUUGGAUGGCUUUAAAAGAGGGCGGGACAAAGGCAUCGAGGAAGACAAAGUUAUCAAUAGCUACUAGCCAUAAUGGCUAUGGUCUGCCUCCAUAGUCAGAGGCAGCAGUGUAUCGCAGGAGCAUGCUGGUCAGUAAUCACACAGUUUAAAGUUGGAGUUAACUCUUUAUUAGUGAAAACAUGAUCCCCACAGACUUGGUUGAGUGUCAGGCCUAAUGAACAGAGCAGUUCAUUCCCAAUGGUCUUACUCCAUGAAAAUCAGUUUCCAGGACUGUUUAUUAAAUGGGUAAAAUCAAUUUACACAUUACAGACAGCACAGAUAAUUGUUAAUGGAGAAUUGACUAAAACCUGUGAGAUACAGAAGAGGACAAGGCAAGGGUGUCCAUUGUUCCCAUUACUUUUCAUUCUGGUCUUGGAAGUUUUGCUUAGAGAUAUUAGACAAAAUGAAUUAUAACAAUGAAGAUAAAAGAAGAAUAUGACAACAAAAGAUCAGAAGGUUUUGGAGAAAACAGGGUUUCACAAUGGAAAAAAAUGAAAUACUUGGGUGUUACUAUGAUAAAUAUGAACUGCUCGUUAUUUCAAAAUAAUUAUGUUAUGAAACGGGCUGAAACUUAAAAAGAUAUGUAAAGAUGAGAGACAUUAAAACUGUCAUUAUUAGGUAGAAUUUCAGUGAUAAAGAUGAAUGUUUUUUCCCCAGAAUGAUGUUUUUAUUUCAAACAUUACCUAUUUUGACUAAUGACUUACCAUUUAAACAAUGGCAAAAAGAUUUAUCUAAGUUUCUAUGGCAAGGAGAAAAACCACAAGUCAAAAUGAAAAUAUUUCAAUAUGCGAAGGAAAGGGAAGAACUGGGUUUACCUGACCUGAAAUAGUACUUUGCAGACUGUUGUUUAGUGUUGAUGAAGGAAUGGGUGACCCUGAGAACUAGAAGAUCAUGAUUUAAGAUUUGGAUGGCAUGGAUAUUUGUGGUAUGGUAAGAUCAAAGCUAAUGUAGAUUUCAAAAUCAUUUCAUAGAAAACAUGCACUCCACUAUUAGAAUGGAGUUAGGGAGACGGUAAAAUUUAAAAAAAGGAACAAGGGAAGGUUAUAGUCUUUAAUUGUUUUUUUCCACCUACAACUAACAGAGAGAUUUAAGUUGGAGAAAAAGACAUUUGGUAUAGAACAAGAAAGACAGAUUUUUAAAUUAAGUUGUGUACAGAUAAUGAACAUGUUAUUGAGAAAAUUUCAACAAAACAAGUUAAAUGGGCAAAAAUGGGUAUGAUAAACAGAUGGAACAGUGGGAACAUAUGUUGACUAAAGGGUUAAAAUACACAUUUUAUUACAAAAUGAUGUAUCAUUGGGACUUAACUCCUGAUAGGUUAUUUAGAAUGUAUAAAAACAUUCCAAAUACUUGCUGGAAGUGUCAAGAAGGGACAUUUUUUUCAUGCUUGGUGGACGUGUAAAAAAGCUAAACAAUAUUGGAAACACUGACACUGAUACAGGAGAUUUUUAAGGUCAAUUUUCAACUAAAGCCGGAGCUCUUCCUGUUGGGACUUACGGUAUACAAUUAGAAAAAGACUAUGGAACUUUAUUUCAAAAUAUAUGCACAAAGAUGGAAAGAUUAUAGCCUCCAGUGGAGGAAUGGUUGUUAAAAUUACUGGACUUAGUUGAGAUGGCGAAACUGAUGUGGUUAAUCAGAGAAAAAUCAUUGUCAACAUUUACUAAAGAUUAGAAACUUCUUAUAGACAUUGUUCAUGAAAAAGAAAAUGAACUUAUGAUAUGUGGGUUUGAGGAUUCAAGAUAAUGCUGGGGAGAUUUAUUAGGUGUUAUCUUAGAGUGAAUGUGUUGAAUAAUUCUCUAUAAAACUGACAAAUGAAUAAUUGGAAGUUCUCUUUUUCUUUCUUUUUCCUUCUCUCUCUUUUUGCUCUGUGUUUUUAUUUAGAUUAAAUUUUUAUACAAUUCAUAAAAAUAUAUCCAAUAUUAAUCAUUGUAUUUCCCCCCCAAAUUUCAAAAUAAACAAAAAUCAGUUGCCAAGAAAGACCCUGUCUGCUCACAGCCAUCUAAAUCCCCUUCUCUCCAGGGCUUUCCCCAAGCAAUCAGAGACUACGCCUGCAUGCAGCCAACUUCUCCUCUGCCCUUUUCAUGCCUCUUCUGGUUCUGGGAGACAAGGGGAGAGGGGAGCUUGUCGCAGCAGGAGGGGGAGACGCCUGUGACUCUUCACCAGCCUGACUCAUUUCUGCCUCUUGGCCUCCCUCCUCCCACUCUCCUGCUUCAGCUUCUGGCUCUGAUUCUGGACUUCUUUCUGCCACAGAUUCUCCCAGCUUACUAAGCCCUGUUACCUCUUCAGCUUCUGACAUCUCCUCUUCCUAGUCUUCUCCCUCUGGACCAUUUAUCGUUGUCCCACUACUACUCCCUGGGCUCUGAGCCUUCCUCCCUUGUGGUUCCCUGGCUUGCUCCUCCUUCUGCAUCAAACCACUCUAUGACACAGUGCUUCUGAAUCCCAGCUGGUGGAAACAACAGGAGGAGAGGGUUUUGUGCUCGGCUCUUGCUUGCAGGUUUCCCACAAAAGGCAUCUCAUUGGCCACCGGGAGCAGGAUGCUGGACUAGAUGGGGCCAUUGCUUGAUGAAGCAGGGCUGUUCUUAUGAAUCACAGUCCUGAGGGGCAAAAAUACUAGCAACUCAAGUUAGAAACAUUUUUCAAAAGUCAUUGCUAAGCAGUGAUUUAGCAGCAGCUACCAAAAUACAUAGGUGGUCUACAAAGGGACAUCUGCAAUGUAUAGGGCAGCAAAAUAUUCCCUGGCCCUUUCUUUGAGAGUCCAAAGGGUUGAGGUUUGCAGUCAGCAGUCUGUAAUUUUAUAAAGAAGCUUGUUCAAAGUACUUUUGGUUAUUUUCCUUCACCUUCUUAUUUUGAUGGGGUGGUGGUCCCCAAAGCACACCCCAUUUUGUCCUGUAAUUGAUUUUCAUUAGAGCUCUCCUUUUACUGUCAGCACCUAAUUAUCAACCCAUAAUUGACCCCACCUUGCUAUAAAAGCUAAUGGCCGCUCUGAUUCCACCUCACAGCUCUUUCGAACUUUGGCUUGUCCAGUCACCAGCUGUUCUCAGUGGCAGAUCCCAAAGAGGCAGCCUGACUCGUGAUUCAAAUUGGCAAGGUUUCCAAGGAUGAGUUGCUGUUGGAAAAACAAACAGGGGCAGGGAGAGAGAUUAUGGUCUGGAUUUAGCAAAAUGACAGUUUUACAAAGGCGAGACCUCCUCUUGUCCAAGACAUCCCCUCCCACAAAGAAAUGCAUAAGGGACAUUUCACUGCUUUAGAGAGAUACAAGUGUCUUUGAGACAGAGGUCCACUGGCAGGAGAAGCUAACGAGAAAUAUACUUUGCCCUUCUGUGCUACUCAGUCCCCAUGUUUGUUUUUCCUGGGGCCGCCACUGCUGGUGGAAAGGAAGGGGAGCAAAAGGGAAGGAGCAAAUGAAAUAGUUAAGAAGGGAAGGGAAGGGAGGAAGAGCAAAAAGAAAAGGGAUGGAAGGAAAAGGAAAAAAAGGAAGAGGAGAAUGGGAGAAGGGAGGUAGGGAGGGUAAAGAAAAGCGGAAGGAAGGAAUGAAGGGGUAGCAAAGAAAGACAGAAAAUGUAAGUGAGAAAGAAAGAAAGAAAGAAAGAAAGAAAGAAAGAAAGAAAGAAAGAAAGAAAGAAAGAAAUUCUUUAUAUAUGGAACUGUUUGCAGCACAAUUGUGAGCACAUCUUACUCAUCUAGAGAAGCGACGUUGAGCAAAGCCAGCGGAGAGACACGCUCCACCUAAGUACCACUGUCAAUAUUAAAUUUAUCACAGGAGACCCUUGAAAUGGCUCCAUUCCAGGGAUGAGGUGAAUUAGCUUUGCUUGGGAAAGCAGCUAUUUUCCUAAUAAAUCUAUCAGGUGCAGGUAGUAAAAUGUUCUUAGCCGUGUCCGAUGUGUCUCCUGCCUGUAAUUAGCUAUUAAAACAUUACCAGCCUUGUGCUGUGUUAGCGGGUGAGGUUUAUUGCAUUGCGGAUAGGGAUGCAGGAGGAACAAUUCCCUCCAUGCCCUUCCUGGAAAUGCUUCUCGACAAGCAAACUGCUACUUUGAGCCAUUUCCAGCAGCAGGGGCAGGGGGUUGUGCCUCCUUAUAAAAUGGGACUCAGCUCGGUAUCUUUUAACAUGGAAGCAUGCAAGGAUUUCCGACAAACUGGCCCUCAGUUAAACAGACUGGAAGCAAUGGGGGGGGGGGGGGCCUGGAUGAUCCCAUAGAACAGGGCUGGGGAAUCUUGUUCAGCCCAAGAGCAAGAUGCCCUUCUGGGCAACAUUCUGCAGGUCAGAGGUAAAACUGGGCAGAGCAACAAAUGUGAGUUUUACCUUUUGCAGAGUAAGCUAGUUUCUACUAGACACUUGCACCCCUCUCUGUCCUCCUUCCAGACCAGCACAAUCACAUCUGAGGGAUGCAUUCCAGCCAAGCAACAACACUCAAAGAGGGUGCAAAGCUAGACCUGUAAGGGGACCUGGCUUGGGAAAGAGGGUGUGUCUGGUGAGAGGCAUGGGGAGUGCGAAGUGCUGAAUAUAGGGCCUUGGAGGGCUGAAUUGCCCCACCCCAGGCCAGAGGUUUCCCACUUCUGCUGCAGAAUAAGCUGGACCAGAAGAACAUGGGCACGCAACUCCCUCUGCCCAUACCCUGUUAAGUCCCAGGAGACACCAUCUAAGGAAAGUAGGGCCCGUUCAUUCUCACUAAGGCCACCUUUGCACCAUACAUUUAAAAUGUUAUGACACCACUUUAAACAGAAUUCUGGGUGCUAUAAUAAUAAUAAUAAUAAUAAUAAUAAUAAUUUAUUAUUUAUACCCCGCCCAUCUGGCUGAGCUUCCCCAGCCACCCUGGGCGGCUUCCAACAAAAUGUUAAAAUACAGUAAUGCAUCAAACAUUAAAAGCUUCCCUAAACAGGGCUGCCUUCAGAUGUCUUCUAAAAGUCUGGUAGUUGUUGUUCUCUUUGACAUCUGGUGGGAGGGCAUUCCACAGGGCGGGUGCCACAACCGAGAAGGCCCUCUGCCCGGUUCCCUGUAACUUGGCUUCUCGCAAUGAGGGAACCGUCAGAAGGCCCUCGGCGCUGGACCUCAGUGUCCGGGCUGGAUGAUGGGGGUGGAGACGCUCCUUCAGGUAUACUGGACUGAGGCCAUUUAGGGCUUUAAAGGUCAGCACCAACACUUUGAAUUGUGCUCGGAAACGUACUGGGAACCAAUGUAGGUAUUUGAAAACCAGUGUUUUGUGGUAUUGGUGGCCGCUCCCAGUCACCAGUCUAGCUGCCACAUUCUGGAUUAGUUGUAGUUUCCGGGUCACCUUCAAAGGUAGCCCCACAUAGAUCGCAUUGCAGUAGUCCAAGCGAGAGAUAACCAGAGCAUGCACCACUCUGGCGAGACAGUCCGCAGGCAGGUAGGGUCUCAGCCUGCGUACCAGAUGGAGCUGGUAAACAGCUGCCCUGGACACAGAAUUGACCUGCGCCUCCAUGGGCAGCUGUGAGUCCAAAAUGACUCCCAGGCUGUUCACCUGGUCCUUCAGGGGCACAGUUACCUCACUGAGGACCAGGGAGUCCUCCAUACCCGCCCGUCUCCUGUCCCCCCCCCAAAACAGUACUUCUGUCUUGUCAAGAUUCAACCUCAAUCUGUUAGCCGCCAUCCAACCUCCAACCGCCUUUGUUAAUCCUUUGUUAAGGCUGCAGAGAGUUAUUAGAAGUCAUGCUGUUGUUUCAUCUCUGGCUGCAGUUCUCCAAGAGGGAAAAAGAGGCCAUUCCCAACCCUCCCACUCCCCUAUGGUCCUGUAACUUGGGAUGCUACAGAUUGGACCUGGAACCUUCCCCGUGAUGCUCUCCUUCUGAGCUCUGGCCUUUCCUAGCCAGAAGGCAAGGGCGCUACUGAAGGCUGCCCAAAGCCCUUUCCCAGUGGUGGAGUGGAAGGCAGGGACACCAACAGUAGGUGGCGCCAGAGUCAAUGGCAGGCAGAACUGACUCAUCAGAGUUUUGUCCCCAUCCUCCUCCCUGCUGAGUUGCCAUAUGUCCAAAUUUUCCUGGAUAUUUCACCUGGACACUGCUGCCAACAGCAGUAUUCCUGAUACGUCCGGGAAAUUCCAGACGUAUGGCAAUUCCUAUGGCCUAUUGGCACCACUUCCCCAGCUACAUCAGGAAUGCUUUUCUGUGACCAGGGAGGGACCAGGUUGCUGAAUUUUGUCAAGCAAACAUUGGUGGCUGCAUUUGGAGGUUCCAUGAGGACUCCAAAGAACUGGCUUGGGCCACCACUGCACCUGACAUAUAAAGCACUCUUAGACCACUUUAAUCAUUCAUGACUUCCCCUUCAAGGACUGCUGGGAACUGUAGUUUGUUAAGGGUGCCGACAGUUGUUAAGAGACGCCCUAUUCCCUCACAGAGCUACUAUUCCCAGGAUGCUUUAACAAUCAAUCCUUCCCAUGAGACUCUGGAAACUGUAGCUCUGUGAGGGAAUAGGGGCCUCCUAAAGAUUCUCAGCACCCUGAAUGAACUAUAGUUCCCAGAAUUCUUUGGGGAAAGCUAUGACUGUUUAAAGAGGCAUCAUAGUGCAUUAAAUGCGUGGCCGUCCUUCUUUCUUUUACAGUCCUAGUUUCUGCCCCACUUUGCCACCAGCGACUCAAAUCCCUUUUUGCUUUGAUUUCUUCCUACACUUUCCUCUCCUCCCCUCCUUCCUCCUCUCCUCUCUGUUCACAGGCAAGAACCGUAUGGACAGACAGCAGGAAAGGAUCCCUGCUACCGCCUGGGAGCCGUAGGAGACCUUUCUUCAUGUCUUCUGUUUGCCAGUAUUUUGACAUUGUUAAGUUAAAACAAGCUCGCUCCGCACUUGAGGCCAGGCCUGAAACAUUCUCCUUUGAUCUGAAGGUCACCGCAGCCAUUCUGCCAGCCUCCUAACCCUGCUGGGCUGCCCUGUGGUUUUACUUUCAAACUGUACAGCGAGAGCUGGGGGGAGCCCAGGCAGAAUCCGUCCAGACAAGGAAACCCAAGAGCAGCAAGGAGCGGCCUUAAUUGCCACCGCCAAGGAUUCGAGUGUGGGAAACACCUCUUGGAGCGAGGGGCGGGGAAGCCUUUCCAGCCCGAGGUCCACAUUCCUUUCGGAACAACCUUCUGGGGAAUGCAUGUUAGCAGUGGGUGGGACCAGAAGCAAAAGUGGGUGGAGCAACAGAUGUGAAUUUGACCCUUUUUUUACAGUAGGCAAAGCUCUCUCUAUUCCCCAUCUAUGAAAGGAACGAGCAUAAUUGGCAUUUAAAGUCACAUUUCAGCCAAUCAAGGAGGGUGCAAAGUAGGGCUUAGAGCAGGGGUCAGCACACUUUUUCAGCAGGGGGCUGGUCCACUGUCCUUCAGACCUUGUGGGGGGGCUGGACUAUUUGUUUUGGAAGGGGGAUGAACGAAUUCCUAUGCCCCACAAAUAAUCCAGAGGUGCAUUUUAAAUCAAAGCAUACAUUCUACUCAUGUAAAAACACCAGGCAGACCCCACAAAUAACCCAGAUGCAUUUUAAAUAAAAGGACACAUUCUACUCAUGUAAAAACACGCUGAUUCCCGGACUGUCCACAAGCCGGAUUGAAAAGGCGAUUGGGCCUGAUCCGGGCCCCGGGCCUUAGGUUGCCUACCCAUGGCUUAGAGAGAGGGCUUAUGGCCUGGGCAGAGUGCAGAGGGCGAGAUAGAAAGGUAUUGUGGGUCACAUUUAGGGUUCCCCAUUCUCCAGCACUAGAGCUUGUGGACAUUCAAUGAAGCUGAAUGUUGAGAACAAAUGAAAGAAAUGACACAAAAUUACACUAUGGAACUUUCUCCCACAGGAGGCAAUGAUGGCUACCAACUUGGAUGGCUUCAAAAGAGGAUUAUACAAAUUCAUGGAGAAGGCUACUAACCACAUGACUAUGUUCUAACUUGAAAGCAGGUUCAAAUGAUGUAAAAAUGUGAUGGUGUGGUUUUUUCCUGGGGAGUGAGAAUAGAGGUGGGGGAGAAAAGUUCAGUUUGGUUUGCAUUUAAAGAUGAACCAACCUAAUUUGGCACUUUUUGGAACAAUAUGCAAACCAACCUUCGAAAUUGGCACUUCUCCAGUUUUUCAGUUGUUCAAUUUUUCAGCUUUGCUCCAACAAAAUAAUGUAUACAGAUAUGGAUAUGCUAGAGGAAAUUGUGCACUAAAGUUCAUAUAUUCAUGAAAAUAACAUAUAAGCACACAUUAUGUUAGGGUAAAAAUGGAUUUACCAAAGCUUGUCUAUUAGACAAAAAUACAUACAAAAUGUGUAAAUUAGGAGAAAUAUGCACCAAAAUACAGACCGUCUGGUUUUUGGCACCCAAAGUGUUUAUAUUUAGGUCCCACCUUAUUCCUUUGAUCGUGUUGUUUUAAACUGUUUUAAUAUUGUGGUUUAAUGUUUUAUCCAAGGCUUUUUUUCAGCUGGAACUCACCAGAACUCUUUGGUGAGUUCCAGCACCUCUUUUGUGCGUUCUGGUACCUCUCUAGCUGUCUGUGGGCAGCACAGCACUCUGUGUUGCGUGAUGGAGGCUGCAGGUGGCAUGGAGAUUGUUGCAGUGCUGCAGCAACACCGCAGUGUGGCUGGAACAAUCAACAACUUUGUGUGGGUGCCCUGGUUUUAACCUGCCUUGGGACCUUUGGGUGAAGUAACAGCUAGGAAGGAGGAGGAGGAGGGAAAUUUCCACAAGGACUUGUUUAAAAAAAAGUCACAAACUGAUGUAGAAAUUUGGAGAACUGAAGUUAAGUUUGGAAAAAUGAGCGAGGGAAACUGAAUUUGACAGGUUCAUCCAUCCUUAGUGCAGAAUGUUCCCUUUCUCAUGCAGAAGUACCAUCAAAGGCUCUUACAAAGAAUAGAAUCUGACUAUAAAUGAGCCACAACCCCCAGCAAAGUUCCUGUUCCCAAACUCUCCUCCACCAGGUCGUGGAGCAGCUCUUUGGUAAAAUGAGAUGGGCCUGCCUUCCUCCCGUGUUUAUUUAUCUAAAAUUAUUUAACUUGGUCACCCUACCGAGAUCAAUCUGCCAUUGACAGAGGCAACCUACCCCGCUGACUCCCUCACUCUCUCUUUGAGGGACUCAGCCAAGUCUGGCCCGCUUCUGUGUGAAAGAGCACUACCUAACACACACACACACACACACACACACACACACACACACCAUCACCUCAUCCACCUUCCAAACGCAACCUUACAAAUUCAGUGCAUAUGUUGGAGGCUGGUGCCAUCUGAUCCAGAUUAGAGCCAGGCCCACGCUGGGAUCCUUUUGCCGGCUCUUGGUUCUGGCUGUGGUUGGCCACUAAUGCACUUACACAGAUUUCCUAAUGAGAAGGCAUCUCACAUUUUGAUAUAUUAUUAUGUCUGAACUUCUUUUUUCUAUACCUCUUUGAAAGAAUCAGUGGUGGGGAGAGGGGCGUUUUCCCACUCCGCAAAAGCUGGAGCACCAAGCAAGUCUCAAAAGGUAUAAGCCAACUUUCUGUGCACAAAUAUCCUUUGAAAAGGUAGCCCUUUCUCACCGCAGUUUAAAGGGAAGGCUUUGAUUUCAAGCAUGGCUCUUCCCUAGAACCCAUGUCCAGUAUCAGAGCCUAUGGGUCAAUUCACAUAUUACGUUGUUCAGCUGUACAGUGGACCCUCCGGAUACUAACUUAAUUUGUCCCUGGGGUCUGUACUUACCCUGAAAAGUCUGUAUCCGGAGGUGCUGCUUCUGCGCAUGUGCGCGGUGAGAUAGCGCGCUUCUGCGCACACACGCACGGUGAAACCCGGAAGUAUACACUUCCGGGUUUGCCGUGUUCGUAACUCGAAAUUGCAUUACCCGAAGAUAACAUAACCCGAGGUACCACUGUACUCCUGAAGUUGUCUGCACUCCUAAAUAUGCCAUGUGCAAUGAACACAUUGUUGCUCUGUUGGUACAGUGGUACCUCGGGUUAAGUACUUAAUUCAUUCGGGAGGUCCGUUCUUAACCUGAAGCACCACUUUAGCUAAUGGGGCCUCCUGCUGCUGCCGCGCUGCCGGAGCAAUAUUUCUGUUCUCAUCCUGAAGCAAAGUUCUUAACUCGAGGUAUUAUUUCUGGGUUAGCAGAGUCUGUAACCUGAAGUGUAUGUAACCUGAAGCGUGUGUAACCUGAGGUACCACUGUAUUUGCCUCUGACCCUGUCCACCACUGGUAUGUGGCCCUCUGGAAGUUGCCCAGAAGAGAAAGAGGCCCCCAGGCUCAAAAAGGUUUCCUGCCCUUAUCUCAUAAUAAGCCACAGUUCCUUGCUGGUGUCCACAGACUUGCAACAUAAUGUGUGACAAGGAAUCAUCUCUGCAAGAGGCUGAAGUAGGAACCCUGUGCAAAGAGCCCAGCGGACAUACCGGUACCUGCUGGUGACACCUGCGGUGAGUAACAGUGUUCCAGUCUGAGCCUGGAAAAGCACAUAGAGAUGAAAGAGGAAGUGAGAAAGAGCGGCCCUUUUUCCAAAUUCUUCCUUCAACUCUAUGUACAUCCUGUUCUCAAAAGCGGACAGCCAGAUGCCCCAACGAGGAGCCUGAAAACAGGACUUGAGCACAGCAGCCCAAUUGCCACUUGUGAUCCUCAGCAGCUGGAAUUCAGAGGCAUACAGCCUCCAACAGUGGAGGAAUAAAAUAGCCAUUGUGGCUAGUAGCCAUUGAUAAUGCCGCUAGAAUAUGUCACAAGCAGCAAUAGACCCUGAUUUACAGCCUCUCACAGGGCACAGCCAAACAUGAGAUCCAAUCAAAGUAGGCACUCCUGUAACACCCAGAGGGCACAGAACGUGCGGAGCCAGUAGCCACAAUGAUAAACAUUGUGUGAGUUGCAAUGUGCUUUUAGGAAUGUUUCCCUGUUUCUAGGAAAAGCCAGGCACGAAUAAUCUGUUCUGUGCUUGUUUAUUUCUUGAAGCCAUUCUAGGCCAUUGACUCCCAUCCUGAAGAAGCACACUGGAGAAAAAUCACAGUACAUGACUACUCAGAAAUUAAUCCCAGUGAAUGUGACAGCCUAGCUGUGAUCCCGUGUCCCCAUCUUCCUCCUCCCAUUACAGAGUUCUACAAGGGGCAAUACUGAGACUAAGGAGAAGGAAGCUGACUGGCAGGGCCGCCCCCGUACUGUCUAUAGGUAAGAAGGCUGAUCAGCUUCAUCUGAAGAUCACAUUUUACAUUUCAGGUUCUCAUUUUACCAAUAUUUUGCAUAUUACCACAUCAGUUUGCGAUAUUUUCAAAGUCCUAAUGAAAAUACACCAGCAUUUAAGAGCAAAUUUCUUCUAAUAUAUUUACAUAUGUAUGUGAUUUUGCAUAACAUAAAUAUUUUUGCAAAGCAACUUUGCCUGAUAUAACACACUUUCAAUACCAUUUUCACUGUGUACCUUUUUAUACACACUUCACCCUUGUACAUGCAGUUUUUCAGUACAGUGGUACCUCGGGUUACAUACGCUUCAGGUUACAUACGCUUCAGGUUACAGACUCCACUAACCCAGAAAUAGUACCUCAGGUUAAGAACUUUGCUUCAGGAUGAGAACAGAAAUCGUGCUCCGGCGGCGUUGGGGCAGUGGGAGGCCCCAUUAGCUAAAGUGGUGCUUCAGGUUAAGAACAGUUUCAGGUUAGAACGGACCUCCGGAACGAAUUAAGUACUUAACCUGAGGUACCACUGUACACUGCAAAAUUCAGACAAGUGAAAUUUUUGAGGGAUGCUUAUGUUUUGGUUAGCGUAACUGAAAGGGUGGGUGGGAACAUGAGAACAGGUCCCAGGGAGGCUCACAUGGGGCCUUCAUUACAUAUCUUUAGGUGCCAAGCAAAAACAUUUCUCUAUGACCAAGCCCUUGGCUGAUUAUAGAUUAACAUUCUAUGGCCUUUAAAAUGUGUUUGUGGGCUGGUGGACAUUGGGUUGUAUCUGUUUUAUUAUGUCUUUUUGUAUUUCUCAUUUUGCAUUUUUAUGUUGCGAACUGUCCUGUGAUCUUCAGAUGAAGGGUGGUAUAAUAAUUUAAUAAAUAAUAAUAACAGGUUUAAUUUAAAGCACAUUCAAGGCACCUUUAAAACACAUGACUUUCACUAAAGUAUCCUGGGAACCAUAGUUCCCCCCCUCAUGGAGCUAGGAUUCCCAGCACCAUUAACAACAACAGUUCCUAUGAUUCUUUGGUGAGUGGGAGGAGCCAGGUCCUUUAAAUAUGCCUCACAUGUGCUUUAAAUGUAUUGUGUGGAUCAGCACUAAGUCUUCUAAGAGCAAUACCUAACUUUUCACUGUUGUCUUAUUGUUCAGUUAAUGUACAGAAACUGCAGAUUCUAGGCUUGGAUUCUCUUUUUAUCUUUUCUUUUAAAUGUUCGCUGUUGUUUUAUUCUUUUGACACCUGCUGAAGGGCUGCAAUUUAUUGAUAACCAUUUCCUAGCAGAUCUGAAGAAGUGUGCAUGCACACGAACGCUUACACCAAGAGCAAACUUAGUUGGUCUCUUAAGGUGCUACUGGACAAUUUUUUUAAUAUAUAUUUCAUUUCCUAGCAAUUAGCCCCAUCAAACUUAACAGAGUUUACUUCUGAGCAGACACAUAACUUAUACACGUCAUAGGACUGCAUUGUAAAUAAGUAAGUAAAAGAAGUAAGAUUUUUUUUAAGAAAGAAAAAGUACUAAAUCUCAAACCAGCUUGGAAGAUAAAUACAAAUGUUGUCCGCACAUGGGAAGCAGGAGGACGUCUCUGAGCCAUACAAAGCGCCUUUCUCUCCCUGCUACUGAUUUCACCAUGAGGAAGCCUCCGAUACACUCAGGCUCAGCCCUUCUCUUUACACCAAUUAAAAAGGCCCCUUCAGAUGAAAGAAGGAAGUUACGGUUGCUCUGAGCAGGUGGCUGCCCUCCAGCUCCAGGCACACCUGGAUAAGACUCAAUUCCUAAAUCCCAAAAGGUUUCCCGGGCCCAGUUCCAAAAUUUAGACACAGGGGCCCCUCCCACUGCAGGGGGGGGGGGAGGGAAGCACCAGAGACUGCAAAUAAGCAUGUGUGACAGUUCAUAUGAUAUAUCAGGGGGUGACAUCGUGGGGUUGACUGCUGACCAGCACUAAUCAAAAGGCACUGGCUAGCUGCCGUCCAAAGGCAAUACAUUUUCCAGUCCCUAUUACCUCUGCCUUCUUCUAAGACCCACCAGUAUGAAUAUAUAUGAGAAUGUCAACAAAUCAAGCUUUGCUAUUCCUUUAAAAGUAAUUCUGGGCAGCACCAGCUAAUUGCCUUUAAAUACUUAACUAGUGGUGCUUAGUGGUUAUGGAAGCCCAUUGUAAUGUGGGAAUGUAAUGUAAGAAUAGGUUGCUGGAUCAGACCAAUGGUCCGUCUAGUCCAGCAUCCAGUUCUCAUAGUGGCCAACCCGAAGCCUGCGGGAAACCCACAAGCAAGACCCAAGCACAGUGGACUACUCCCUGUUGUUAUUGUUGCUGCUGCUGCUACUGUACCACCACCAUCAUCAUCAUUAGGAGCCCAGGGAAACAAACACACAAAUGAUACAACAUUAAAGGUAAAGGUACCCCUGCCCGUACGGGCCAGUCGUGUCCGACUCUAGGGUUGUGCGCCCAUCUCACUUAAGAGGCCAGGGGCCAGCGCUGUCCGGAGACACUUCCGGGUCACGUGGCCAGCGUGACGAAGCUGCUCUGGGGAGCCAGCACCAGUGCAGCACACGGAAACACCAUUUACCUUCCCGCUAUAAAGCGGUACCUAUUUAUCUACUUGCACUUUGACGUGCUUUCGAACUGCUAGGUGGGCAGGAGCUGGGACCGAAAGACGGGAGCUCACCCGCCGCGGGGAUUCGAACUGCCGACCAUGCGAUCGGCAAGCCCUAGGCACUGAGGUUUUACCCACAGCGCCACCCGCGUCCCGAUACAACAUUAAAGCAUCUCUAAACAGCGGGUGGCACUGUGGGUUAAACCACAGAGCCUAGGGCUUGCCGAUCAGAAGGUCGGUGGUUCGAAUCCCUGCGACAAGGUGAGCUCCCGUUGUUCAGUCUCAGCUCCUGCCAACCUAGCAGUUCGAAAGCACGUCAAAGUGCAAGUAGAUAAAUAGGUACUACUCCGGCGGGAAGGUAAACGGCGUUUCCGUGCGCUGCUCUGGUUCCCCAGAAGUGGCUUAGUCAUGCUGGCCACAUGACCCGGAAGCUGUACGCCGACUCCCUCGGCCAAUAAAGCGAGAUGAGCGCCGCAACCCCAGAGUCGUCCGCAACUGGACCCAACGGUCAGGGGUCCCUUUGCCUUUACCUUUAAACAUCUAAAAACAACUCCAAUAUACAGAUCCGGGCUAGGAAAGAUCUCAAUUUUAAAAGGCUUUUUGGAGAGGAAGAUGUUUAGUAGGCACUGAAAACACAACAGAUACAGAGCCUGUCUAAUAUUCAAUGUGAGAGAAUUGCAAUAGCUAAGCACCACUGCACGAAAUAUCCAAUUCUGAUAUUGUGCAGAACAGACAUCUUGCUAUAUUGGCAUCUGCAGGAGACCCUCACCUAUAGAUUGCAGGGGUGGUUGGGGUGUAUGAGGGAUGGGGUGACUUUUCAAGUAUCCUGGUCCCAAGUGGCAUGGGACUUUAUACACUAAAACCAGCACCUUGAACUUAGUUUUGAGGGCUAUGGGAGGUUAAUGGAGAGAACUGGGGAUAAAGGGGAAGCUUGUGGUUGGAGGAAUUAUCACCUAGGUGCAACAUCCAUGAGAUGGGACAGUUCUUGGGAGUAAGGAGCAGUCCUCCAGGUCCUUGGUUGUACAGGAGCUCUCCGUGGCAUUCAACAGCUCUUCUUCAGAGGCGGUAUCAGCAAGUCCUGAUUUGCUGAGCACCCUUCUCCAUCCUAUACCUCACACUGUACAUGUUUACUAUGAGAAACACCCACUGGCAUGGAAAGGGGAAAAUAAAACCUCUCAGAGAACUUUUGUCAGCCCUCACCUGGCCUAUAACUGUCUCAGUUGCAAAAAAAAGGGGGCAUCACCUCAUCCCAGGAGAGGCCUGCAUUUCCCCUGUAGCAAUUUCAUUUGUAUGAGACAUCUGGGGGCGGGAAGCACACCAGUGCUUUCACCAAAUGCACCCCACUGGGCAGAAAUUAUCUGAGCUUUCUUUAAUCUUUGCUGCUGCUGCUGCUUUUUUGCAGAGUUCACCGAAGGGAAAAGCGAACAUAGCCAGGCAGAUGCUGAAAGAGUACAAAAGAAGCCCGCGAGGUUUUGAAGUCACGCCAGCAGCAACUGGAACAGCCUAUAAACUUGUACUUUAUUUUAUUUUUUUCAACAGAAAAAGAAAGGUAAAUUGGAGCAGCAAUUAUUUUUUUAAAAAAAACAUCCAGGUUGCUAAGAAUUACUCAAUUGCCAGCAUUCACUCUGAAAACAGCAGAGGUUCUGUUGCUCUGAUGGUGCUGUUUGUUAGCCUUAGCUUUUAUCAUCGCGAUCAUUAUCAUAAAGUUUGCU